UAUUCAUUUAGCAAAUUAAAAAUUGUAAAUUGAAAAACAGAUCAUCUCCAUCAUCUAAAUAAAAUUUGGUUCGAUACACAUAAUACAGUAUCCAAGGAAUGGGUUGAUUCCAGGAAAAACUCAGAUAAAAACACUAACAAAUUUUGAUAUAUACACUAAACUAACUGGCGUUUUCUUCACUGGAACACGCUGUGUCUUUUAAUAAUUUUGUUAGGCUUGUAAUUAACUUUUCAAAAAUAUGUAACACGUAAGAGGUAUUGCAGAUACAAAACAUAUAUCACUAUUUUUUUUAUAAGUUGGUCAAAAGGGUGUCUGUUUUUCUAAUACACUUUAGUUCCCGCACAGUCAAAACCGAGAGGAGAAACAACCUCCCGGAAAUGUAUGAAGUGGCUCGCAGUCGUCAGUAAUGAAUCUGAUGUAAAAUUACACUUUUCGCACACUCGAUCGACAUGUAAUUGGGUAUUUUACAGCAGGAAAUAGAAAAAUUGAGUUGUCUGAAUCAAAUAUUUUAAAGAAGGUAGUAGAAAAAAUGAGCUUUUCUCCAAAAUGCCCAACUAUACAUAAGCAUUACUUUACCUCGGAUCCGAGCCACUUUGAACAUAUCCGAGAUGUUACUGCUCGAGUUUGAGAACAAUCGGAUGUUUUCGGAGAUGUUACCGCAGGGUUUGAAUUUUGACAUUUUUCGAUUCUGAGGGUAAUAUCAGUGAAUGUAUUCCAGUUGUUUUGUAAAAAUGUACAAUGUAAAUUACAUAGGUAUCAUCUUUUUCAGUGUCCAGAAAAUGUUGUAAAAGUAUAUACGUCAUACGCCAUAUACAAUCAUUUAGCAAAUAUAUAGAUCUUUUCAGAAAAUGUAAAUCAAAGGAAGAACAACGAAAUGCUGCAAAAAAAGAAAUUGAGAAGUAAACCUAUUGCCUACAUAAGAAAUAGAACAAUAUUAUUAUUUUUAUUACCUUUAAAAUAACUGUAUACUUCCAUCAGUGUUAAUUAAUUUUUAAUAUUUAUAGGACGGACACCAUAGCCAUAAAAGUUAAAUUGUAAAACAUAAGAUGAUAAUAUUAAAUUAAAUUAAUAUCGCUAUUCGCUAUUCGCUUAAGUAGUAUAAUCAGAUUGUCAUAAUGAUUUUAAAUGCUAUUAAUACAAUCUAUAGUAAGUACGUAAACGCUAUCCCGAUGCGAGCAAACACGUAUCUAUUGACCAAUUCAGUUUAAACGGACCUCCUAGUACAAAGGGUUGUUCUUAGAUCAGCAACACAUUAUUUUAGCUUACCCAAAACCCACUCCAGCUUUGCUCGAAGUCAUAGAAAAAACACCACCCCGCUAAUAGACAAAUCCAAUUAAACAGAAAGAAAGAAACCUAGCCAGUUCGCAUAAAAUAAUUUCUUUUAAAAUCAAAUUAAUGUUAUGCCUUUCCUUUUUACUCCACUCUAUAUACUCCAGCAGUGUUUUUUUAUAUUCUAUGUUGCAUUGUAUCAUUGCUAAAUUAUUUAGAAAAAUAUCGACCCCACAUCCAAACCCCUUCUGAUUCUGUUCCUAUCCAUUCAACAUAAACAAUUAAGAGAGAGAGAGAGAAAAAAAGAGAAGGUAUUCAUCUGAGCAGCACAUUGAUUAUUCAUUUGUUUGUUUCAUUUAAAUUUUUCGCUGGAAUCAUUGAAGUAUUUUUUCUUGCUCUUUUUAAAAAUCUGGUUUUUAGAUAUCGUAAAAUGCAAUUGAUCAGCUUUAAUUAACCCCAAAGGCCAAACGAAGAAUGAAAAUAGAGGUUAUGGGUACACUGUUAAAAUCAAAAUGGAUUUUGAAACUCAAAAGCUUAUGAAGCUGAAAAAUCUGGAACAAAAUCUAGUCAGACUUUUGGAAAACAUCGACACAGAAAUCAUUCAGACGGAUGUAGAGUGGAUGCAACUUAAGAGUAUCGUGCAAAAACAAAACGGUUGUAAAGAGCCUCAGCUGGCCAAAGAAACCAAACCCCUUCCCAAUGUCCCACAUUUGGAUGACGAAACAAUAAAUUUAGCCAGAAUGGAUCUGGUUUUAGAGGCCUGCAAGUUGGACGAUCAGGAAUUUGAAAGUGAUUAAAUUUUGUUUUUUGAAAUAUCUUUAUUUCAGAAAAUAUAUAUGUAUAUUCAA